rnacentral:misc_RNA from 1 species
UCUCCGUAGGUGAACCUGCGGAAGGAUCAUUAUUGUAUAACCGAGGUGCGAGGGCUGUCGCUGACCCGAAAGGUCGUGCACGCCCGAGUGCCCUCACACACAUCCAUCUCACCCCUAUGUGCACCACCGCGUGGGUCCCCCUUUGGCUUGUUCGGAGGGGGGCUUACGUUUUCCCACAAACUUUGUAUGCAGUGUAGAAUGUAUUUUUUGUUUUUGCGAUCACGCAAUCAAUACAACUUUCAACAACGGAUCUCUUGGCUCUC